CUGAACGACGGCGCCUACGACGGGUACGCCGGCGAUAUCUGGAGCUUCGGCCUGACCAUCCUCGAGGUCUACCUGGGCCGGUUCCCCUUGGGCGAGAACCUCACCAAGCAGGGCGACUGGGCCGCGCUCAUGUCCGCGAUUUGCCACUCCGACUCGCCGCAGGCGCCGCGGGACGCCUCGCCGGAGUUCAAGAACUUCAUCAGCCUGUGCCUCCAGAAGAACCCCGCGAACCGGCCGACCGCGCUUCGGCUGCUGCAGCACCCGUUCGUCGCCUUGCCGCAGCCACAGCUGCACAUGAGAGUGACUGACGAGUAGGGUUGAAG
rnacentral:lncRNA from 1 species